CGGCGGGGAGCUUCCCGGAAACGAAAGUCUUCCGGUUCCGGGGGAAGUAUGGUUGCAAAGCUGAAACUUAAAGGAAUUGACGGAAGGGCACCACCAGGAGUGGAGCUUGCGGCUUAAUUUGACUCAACACGGGGAAACUCACCCGGCCCGGACACCGUAAGGAUUGACAGAUUGAGAGCUCUUUCUUGAUUCGGUGGUUGGUGGUGCAUGGCCGUUCUUAGUUGGUGGAGCGAUUUGUCUGGUUUAUUCCGAUAACGAACGAGACUCUGGCCUACUAACUAGUGACUGGAUUAUUGCUGUCCAGGUUACUUCUUAGAGGGACAAGUGGUGUUCAGCCACACGAAAUUGAGCAAUAACAGGUCUGUGAUGCCCUUAGAUGUCCGGGGCUGCACGCGUGCUACACUGGAGGAAACAGCAUGCAAAACCAUUGCCGAAGGGCAUUGGUAAACCCGAGAAAAUCUUCCGUGAUCGGGAUCGGGAAUUGCAAUUAUUUCCCUUGAACGAGGAAUUCCCAGUAAGUGUGGGUCAUCAGCUCGCGUUGAUUACGUC
rnacentral:rRNA from 1 species